AAGGUUGACAUCGAUUCGUUUCAAAUUUACACUCUCGAGGCAUAAUAGAACAAUAUAAUUAGGUUUUACUCUUUGUUCGAUAGAAUGAGAAAAAGUACUCAUUGCAAAGUUAUACUGUUAGGGCGCAACCGAAUAGUCUAAUGUUGUUCCGGUUUUGGUUCUUGUGAACGCUGACAUCAAUUGGUUCGAAAUUACAACUCUCGGGGCAUAAUUGAACAAUAUAAAUUAGGUUUUACUCUUUGUUCGAUAGAAUGAGAAAAAGAACUCGUCGCAAAGUUAUACUGCUAGGGGGCAACUGAGUAGUCUAAUAUUGUUCCGGUUUUGGUUCUUGUGAACGUUGACAUCGAUUCGUUCCAAAUUUACACUCUCGGGGCAUAAUAGAACAAUACAAUUAAGUUUUACUCUUUGUUCGAUCGAAUGAGAAAAAGUACUCGUUGCAAAUUUAUAAUAUUAGGGCGCAGCUGAGUAGUCUAAUGUUGUUCCGGUUUUGGUUCUUGUGAAGGUUGACAUCGAUUCGUUCCAAAUUUACACUCUUGGGGCAUAAUAGAACAAUAUAAUUAGCUUUUACACUUUGUUCGAUCGAAUGGGAAAAAAGUACUCGUUACAAAGUUAUACUGUUAGGGCGCAACUGAGUAGUCUAUUGUUGUUCCAGCUUUGGUUCUUAUGAAGGUUGACAUCGAUUCAUUCCAAAUUUACACUCUCGCGGCAUAAUAGAACAAUAUAAUUAGCUUUUACACUUUGUUCGAUUGAAUGAGAAAAAGUACUAGUUGCAAAGUUAUAUUGUUGGGGUACAACAGAGUAGUCUAUUGUUGUUCCGGUUUUGGUUCUAGUGAAAGUUGACAUCGAUUCGUUCCAAAUUUACACUCUCGGGGCAUAAUGAAUAAAAUAAUUAGCUUUUACACUUUGUUCGAUUGAAUGAGAAAAAGUACUAGUUGCAAAGUUAUACUGUUGGGGCGCAACAGAGUAGUCUACUGUUGUUCCGGUUUUGGUUCUUGUUAAGGUUGACAUCGAUUCAUUCCAAAUUUACACUCUCGGGGCAUAAUAGGACAAUAUAAUUAGGUUUUACUCUUUGUUCGAUAGAAUGAGAAAAAGUACUCAUUGCAAAGUUCUACUGUUAGGGCGCAACUGAAUAGCGUUAUGUUGUUACGGUUUUGGUUCUUGUGAACGUUGACAUCGAUUCGUUCGAAAUUACAACUCUCGCGGCAUAAUUGAACAAUAUAAUUAGGUUUUACACUUUGUUCAAUAGAAUGAGAAAAAGUACUCGUCGCAAAGUUAUACUGUUGGGGCGCAACUAAGUAGUCUAAUGUUGUUCCGGUUUUGGUUCUUGUGAACGUUGACAUCGAUUCGUUCCAAAUUUACACUCUCGGGGCAAAAUAGGACAAUAUAAUUAAGUUUUACGCUUUGUUCGAUCGAAUGAGAAAAUGUACGCGUUGCAAAUUUAUACUGUUAGGGCGCAGCUGGGUAGUCUAAUGUUGUUCCGGUUUCGGUUCAUGUGAAGGUUGACAUCGAUUCGUUCCAAAUGUACACUCUUGGGGCAUAAUAGAACAAUAUAAUUAGCUUUUACACUUUGUUCAAUCGAAUGGAAAAAAAUACUCGUUGCAAAGUUAUACUGUUAGGGCGCAGCUUAGUAGUCUAAUGUUGUUCCGGUUUUGGUUCUUGUGAAGGUUGACAUCGAUUCGUUCUAAAUUUACACUCGCGGGGCAUAAUAGAACAAUAUAAUUAGCUUUUACACUUUGUUCGGUCGAAUGGGAAAAAGUACUCGUUGCAAAGUUAUACUGUUAGGGCGGAACUGAGUAGACUAUUGUUGUUCCGGUUUUGGUUCUUGUGAAGGUUGACAUCGAUUCGUUCCAAAUUUACACUCUUGGGGCAUAAUAGAACAAUAUAAUUAGUUUUUACACUUUGUUCGAUUGAUUAAGAAAAAGUACUAGUUGCAAAGUUAUACUGUUGGGGCGCAACAGAGUAGUCUAUUGUUGUUCCGGUUUUGAUUCUUGCUAAGGUUGACAUCGAUUCGUUCCAAAUUUACACUCUCGGGGCAUAAUAGAACAAUAUAAUUUGGUUUUACUCUUUGUUCGAUAGAAUAAGAAAAAGUAGUCAUUGCAAUGUUAUACUGUUAGGGCGCCACUGAAUAGUCUAAUAUUGUUCCGGUUUUGGUUCUUGUGAACGUUGACAUCGAUUCGUUCGAAAUUACAACUCUCGGGGCAUAAUUGAACAAUAUAAUUAGGUUUUACUCUUUGUUCGAUAGAAUGAGAAAAAGUACUCGUCGCAAAGUUAUACUGCUAGGGCGCAACUGAGUAGUCUAAUGUUGUUCCGAUUUUGGUUCUUGUGAACGUUGACAUCGAUUCGUUCCAAAUUUACACUCUCGGGGCACAAUUGAACAAUAUAAUUAGGUUUUACUCUUUGUUCGAUAAAAAGAGAAAAAGUACUCGUUGCAAAGUUAUACUGUUAGGGCGCAACAGAGUAGUCUAAUGUUGUUCCGGUUUUCGUUCUUGUGAACGGUGACAUCGAUUCGUUCCAAAUUUACACUCUCGGGNCUGGGAACUUGUUGUACACAAUCUCGUCGUUGUGCCUUGGGCGGACAGGGGAGGUACUGUCCGUACGGCGGUCCGCCGCCGUGCCCGAACCGAACCAAAUUGGUAUCGGCCUCGGGGCGGGGGCGUGACAGAAAAAUUACUAGUUGCAAAGUUAUACUGUUGGGGCGCAACAGAGUAGUCUAUUGUUGUUCCGGUUUUGGUUAUUGUUAAGGUUGACAUCGAUUCGUUUCAAAUUUACACUCUCGAGGCAUAAUAGAACAAUAUAAUUAGGUUUUACUCUUUGUUCGAUAGAAUGAGAAAAAGUACUCAUUGCAAAGUUAUACUGUUAGGGCGCAACCGAAUAGUCUAAUGUUGUUCCGGUUUUGGUUCUUGUGAACGCUGACAUCAAUUGGUUCGAAAUUACAACUCUCGGGGCAUAAUUGAACAAUAUAAAUUAGGUUUUACUCUUUGUUCGAUAGAAUGAGAAAAAGAACUCGUCGCAAAGUUAUACUGCUAGGGGGCAACUGAGUAGUCUAAUAUUGUUCCGGUUUUGGUUCUUGUGAACGUUGACAUCGAUUCGUUCCAAAUUUACACUCUCGGGGCAUAAUAGAACAAUACAAUUAAGUUUUACUCUUUGUUCGAUCGAAUGAGAAAAAGUACUCGUUGCAAAUUUAUAAUAUUAGGGCGCAGCUGAGUAGUCUAAUGUUGUUCCGGUUUUGGUUCUUGUGAAGGUUGACAUCGAUUCGUUCCAAAUUUACACUCUUGGGGCAUAAUAGAACAAUAUAAUUAGCUUUUACACUUUGUUCGAUCGAAUGGGAAAAAAGUACUCGUUACAAAGUUAUACUGUUAGGGCGCAACUGAGUAGUCUAUUGUUAUUCCAGUUUUGGUUCUUGUGAAGGUUGACAUCGAUUCGUUCCAAAUUUACACUCUCGGGGCAUAAUAGAACAAUAAAAUUAGCUUUUACACUUUGUUCGAUUGAAUAAGAAAAAGUACUAGUUGCAAAGUUAUAUUGUUGGGGUGCAACAGAGUAGUCUAUUGUUUUUCCGAUUUUGGUUCUGGUGAAGGUUGAUAUCGAUUCGUUCCAAAUUUACACUCUCGGGGCAUAAUGAAUAAAAUAAAUAGCUUUUACACUUUGUUCGAUUGAAUGAGAAAAAGUACUAGUUGCAAAGUUAUACUGUUGGGGCGCAACAGAGUAGUUUACUGUUGUUCCGAUUUUGGUUCUUGUUAAGGUUGACAUCGAUUCAUUCCAAAUUUACACUCUCGGGGCAUAAUAGAACAAUACAAUUAAGUUUUACUCUUUGUUCGAUCGAAUGAGAAAAAGUACUCGUUGCAAAAUUAUGCUGUUAGGGCGCAACUGAGUAGUCUAGUGUUGUUCCGAUUUUGGUUCUUGUGAAGAUUGACAUCGAUUCGUUCCAAAUUUACACUCUCGGGGCAUAAUAGAACAAUAUAAUUAGCUUUUACACUUUGUUCGAUUGAAUGAGAAAAAGUACUAGUUGCAAAGUUAUACUGUUGGGGCGCAACAGAGUAGUCUAUUGUUGUUCCGGUUUUGGUUCUUGUUAAGGUUGACAUCGAUUCGUUCCAAAUUUACACUCUCGGGGCAUAAUAGAACAAUAUAAUUAGGUUUUACUCUUUGUUCGAUCGAAUGAGAAAAAGUACUCGUUGCAAAGUUAUACUGUUAGGGCGCAACUGAGUAGUCUAAUGUUGUUCCGGUUUUGGUUCUUGUGAACGUUGACAUCGAUUCGUUCGAAUUUACACUCUCGCGGCAUAAUAGAACAAUAUAAUUAGGUUUUACACUUUGUUCGAUAGAAUGAGAAAAAGUACUCGUUGCAAAGUUAUACUGUUAGGGCGCAACUGAGUAGUCUAAUGUUGUUCCGGUUUUGGUUCUUGUGAACGUUGACAUCGAUUCGUUCCAAAUUUACACUCUCGGGGCAUAAUAGAACAAUAUAAUUAGGUUUUACGCUUUGUUCGAUUGAAUGAGAAAAAGUACUCGUUGCAAAGUUAUACUGUUAGGGCGCAACUGAGUAGUCUAAUGUUGUUCCGGUUUUGGUUCUUGUGAACGUUGACAUCGAUUCGUUCCAAAUUUACACUCUCGGGGCAUAAUAGAACAAUAUAAUUAGNNNNNNNNNNNNNNNNNNNNNNNNNAGAUCGAUUCGUUCCAAAUUUACACUCUCGGGGCAUAAUAGGAAGUUUUUACUUCUUGUUCGAUAGAAUAAGAAAAAGUACUCAUCGCAAAGUUAUACUGUUAUGGCGCAACUGAGUAGUCUAAUGUUGUUCCGGUUUUGGUUCUUGUCAACGUUGACAUCGAUUCGUUCUAAAUUUACACUCUCGACGCUUGAACAAUAUAAUUAGGUUUUACUCUUUAUUCGAUUGAAUGAGAAAAAGGACUAGUUGCAAUGUUAUACUGUUAGGGCUCAACUGAGUAGUCUAACGUUCUUCCGGUUUUGGUUCUUGUGAACGCUGACAUUGAUUCGUUCCGAAUUUACACCCUUGGGGCAUAAAAGAAAGCUUUUACUCCUUGUUCGAUGAUUGAGAAAAAGUACUCAUUGCAAAGUUAUACUGUUAUGGCGCAAUAGAGUAGUCUAAUGUUGUUCCGGUUUUGGUUCUUGUGAACAUUGACGUCAAUUAGUUCCAAAUUUACACUCUCGGGGCAUAAUAGAACAAUAUUAUUAUGUUUUACGCUUUAUUCGAUUGAACGAGAAAAAGUACUCGUCGCAAAGUUAUUCUAUUAGGCGCAACUGAGUAGUCUAAUGUAGUUCCGGUUAUGGUACUUGUGAACGUUGACAUCGAUUCGUUCCAAAUUUACACUCUCGGGGCAUAAUAGAAAGCUUUUACUCCUUGUUCAAUAGAAUUAGAAAAAGUACUCGUUGCAAAGUUAAACUGUUAAGGCACACAGAGUAGUCUAUUGUUGUUCCGAUUUUGGUUCUUGUCAACGUUGACAUCGAUUCGUUCCAAAUUUACACUCUUGGGGUAUAAUAGAACAAUAUAAUUAGGUUUUACUCUUUAGUCGAUUGAAUGAGAAAAAGUACUAGUUGCAAUGUAAUACUAUCAGGGCUCAACUGAGUAGUCUAACGUUGUUUCUGUUUUGGUUCUUGUGAACGUUGACAUCGAUUCGUUCAAAAUUUACACUCUCGGGGAAUAAUAAAAAGCUUUUACUCCUUACUCGAAACAAUGAGAAAAAGUACACGUUGCAAAGUUAUGCUAUUAUGGCGCAACAGAGUAGCCUAAUGUAGUUCCGGUUUUGGUUCUUGUCAACGUUGACAUCGAUUCGUUCCAAAUAUACACUCUCGGGGCAUAAUAGAACAAUAUCGUUUGGUUUUACUCUUUAUUCGAUUGAAUGAGAGAAAGUACUCGUUGCAAAGUUAUACUGUUAUGGCAAAACUGAGUAGUCAAAUUUAGUUCCUGUUUUGGUUCUUGUGAACUUUGACUUCGAUUCGUUCCAAAUUUAUACUCUCGAGGCAUAAUAGAACAAUAUUAUUAGUUUUGCUAUUUGUUCGAUUGAAUGAGAACAAGUUCUAGUUGCAAAGUUAUACUGUCAAGGCUCAACUGAGUAGUCAAACGUUGUUCCGGUUUUGGUUUUUGUGAACGUCAACAUCGUUACGUUGCAAAUUUACACUCUCGGGGCAUAAUAGAAAGCUUUUACACCUUGUUCGAUAGAAAGAGAAAAAGUACUCGUUGCAAAAUUAUAUUGUUAUGGCGCAACAGAGUAGUCUAAUGUUAUUUCAGGUUUGGUUCUUGUGAACAUUGACAUCGAUUCAUACCAAAUUUACACUCUCGGUGCAUAAUAGAACAACAUAAGUAGGUUUUGCUCUUUGUUCGAUUGAAUGAGAAAAAGUACUAGUUGCAAUCUUAUACUGUUAGGGCUCAACUGAGUUGUCUAACGUUGUUUCGGUUUUGGUUCUCGUGAACGUUGACAUCGAUUCNNNNNNNNNNNNNNNNNNNNNNNNNAUACUGUUAUGGCGCAACUGAGUAGUCUAAUGUUGUUCCAGUUUUGGUUCUUGUGAACGUUGACAUCGAUUCGUUCCAAAUUAAAACUCUCCGGUAAUAAUAGAACAAUAUAAUUAGGUUUUGCUCUUUGUUCGAUUGAAUGAGAAAAAAUACUAGUUGCAAAGUUAUACUGUUAGGGCUCAACUGAGUAGUCUAACGUUGUUCCGGUUUUAGUUCGUGCGAACGUUGACAUUGAUUCGCUCCAAAUUUACACUCUCGGGGCAUAAUAGAUAGCUUUUACUCCUUAUUCGAUAGAAUUAGAAAAAGUACUCGUUGCAAAGUUAAACUGUUAAGGCGCAACUGAGUAGUCUAGCGUUGUUCCAGUUUUGGUUCUUGUGAACGUUGACAUCGAUUCGUUCCAAAUUUACACUCUCGGGGUAUAAUAGAACAAUAUAAUUAGGUUUUACUCUUUGUUCAAUUGAAUAAGAAAAAGUACUGGUUGCAAUGUCAUACUGUUAGGGCUCAACUGAGUAGUCUAACGUUCUUCCGAUUUUGGUUCUCGUGAACGUUG
rnacentral:lncRNA from 1 species